UACGUAGGGGGCUAGCGUUGUCCGGAUUUAUUGGGCGUAAAGAGCGUGUAGGCGGCCAGGUAGGUCGGUUGUGAAAACUGGAGGCUCAACCUUCAGAGGUCGACCGAAACCAUCUGGCUAGAGUCCGGGAGAGGAGAGUGGAAUUCCUGGUGUAGCGGUGAAAUGCGCAGAUAUCAGGAAGAACACCCGUGGCUAAGGCGGCUCUCUAGUACGGUACUGACGCUGAGACGCGAAAGCGUGGGGAGCGAACAGG
rnacentral:rRNA from 1 species